GGAUGUGAGGGUGAUCUGGCUGCGACAUCUGUCACCCCAUUGAUCGCCAGGGUUGAUUCGGCUGAUCUGGCUGGCUAGGCGGGUGUCCCCUUCCUCCCUCACCGCUCCAUGUGCGUCCCUCCCGAAGCUGCACGCUUGGUGGAAGAGGACGACCAUCCCAGAUAGAAGGAGUGUACCGUUCUUCGGUCAAGGGUAUAUGAUAGCUGUGCUCCCCUGCUAGAACCUCCAAACAAGCUCAAAAGGAGUCUCUGUUUUUAAAACCUCUGUGUGGAAUUGGUCGGCAGAGGGUGGGAAGUCGAGCAUUCCAGCAAUUUCUGCCACUUUGCACAAGGCCUCUUUCUGC